rnacentral:rRNA from 1 species
CUACGGGUGGCUGCAGUGAGGAAUAUUGCACAAUGGAGGAAACUCUGAUGCAGCAACGCCGCGUGGAGGAUGACGCAUUUCGGUGUGUAAACUCCUUUUAUAUGUCAAGAAAAUGACGGUAGCAUAUGAAUAAGCUCCGGCUAACUCCGUGCCAGCAGCCGCGGUAAUACGGAGGGAGCAAGCGUUACUCGGAAUCACUGGGCGUAAAGGACGCGUAGGCGGGAUAGAAAGUCAAGUGUGAAAUCCUAUGGCUCAACCAUAGAACUGCACUUGGAACUUCUAACCUAGAGUAUGGGAGGGGAAGAUGGAAUUAGUGGUGUAGGGGUAAAAUCCGUAGAUAUCACUAGGAAUACCAAAAGCGAAGGCGAUCUUCUGGAACAAUACUGACGCUAAGGCGUGAAAGCGUGGGGAGCAAACAGGAUUAGAUACCCCGGUAGUC